UACGUAGGGCGCAAGCGUUUGUCCGGAAUUAUUGGGCGUAAAGAGCGUGUAGGCGGCCAAGUAGGUCUGCUGUGAAACUCGAGGCUCAACUUCGAGAUGUCGGCGGAAACCAUUUGGCUAGAGUCCGGAAGAGGAGAGUGGAAUUCCGUGGUGUAGCGGUGAAAUGCGUAGAUAUCGGGAGGAACACCAGUGGCGAAGGCGACUACCUGGCCUGUUCUUGACGCUGAGGCGCGAAAGCUAGGGAGCAAACGGG
rnacentral:rRNA from 1 species